rnacentral:rRNA from 1 species
GAUGAACGCUGGCGGCGUGCCUAAUACAUGCAAGUCGAGCGAACAGACGAGGAGCUUGCUCCUUCGACGUUAGCGGCGGACGGGUGAGUAACACGUAGGUAACCUACCUAUAAGGCUGGGAUAACUUCGGGAAACCGGAGCUAAUACCGGAUAAUAUUUCGAACCGCAUGGUUCGAUAGUGAAAGAUGGCUUUGCUAUCACUUAUAGAUGGACCUGCGCCGUAUUAGCUAGUUGGUAGGGUAACGGCUUACCAAGGCAACGAUACGUAGCCGACCUGAGAGGGUGAUCGGCCACACUGGAACUGAGACACGGUCCAGACUCCUACGGGAGGCAGCAGUAGGGAAUCUUCCGCAAUGGGCGAAAGCCUGACGGAGCAACGCCGCGUGAGUGAUGAAGGUCUUCGGAUCGUAAAACUCUGUUAUUAGGGAAGAACAAACGUGUAAGUAACUGUGCACGUCUUGACGGUACCUAAUCAGAAAGCCACGGCUAACUACGUG